rnacentral:rRNA from 1 species
AUUGAACGCUGGCGGCAUGCCUUACACAUGCAAGUCGAACGGCAGCACGGGUGCUUGCACCUGGUGGCGAGUGGCGAACGGGUGAGUAAUACAUCGGAACAUGUCCUGUAGUGGGGGAUAGCCCGGCGAAAGCCGGAUUAAUACCGCAUACGAUCUACGGAUGAAAGCGGGGGACCUUCGGGCCUCGCGCUAUAGGGUUGGCCGAUGGCUGAUUAGCUAGUUGGUGGGGUAAAGGCCUACCAAGGCGACGAUCAGUAGCUGGUCUGAGAGGACGACCAGCCACACUGGGACUGAGACACGGCCCAGACUCCUACGGGAGGCAGCAGUGGGGAAUUUUGGACAAUGGGCGAAAGCCUGAUCCAGCAAUGCCGCGUGUGUGAAGAAGGCCUUCGGGUUGUAAAGCACUUUUGUCCGGAAAGAAAUCCUUUGCCCUAAUACGGUCGGGGGAUGACGGUACCGGAAGAAUAAGCACCGGCUAACUACGUG